rnacentral:rRNA from 1 species
AUGCGUAUGUCGCAAGCGUUAUCCGGAUUUAUUGGGCGUAAAGCGCGUCUAGGCGGCUUUGUAAGUCUGAUGUGAAAAUGCGGGGCUCAACCCCGUAUUGCGUUGGAAACUGUUAAACUAGAGUACUGGAGAGGUAGGCGGGACUACAAGUGUAGAGGGGAAAUUCGUAGAUAUUUGUAGGAAUGCCGAUGGGGAAGCCAGCCUACUGGACAGAUACUGACGCUAAAGCGCGAAAGCGUGGGUAGCAAACAGGAUUAGAUACCCUGGUAGUCCACGCCGUAAACGAUGAUUACUAGGUGUUGGGGGUCGAACCUCAGCGCCCAAGCUAACGCGAUAAGUAAUCCGCCUGGGGAGUACGUACGCAAGUAUGAAACUUAAAGGAAUUGACGGGG